rnacentral:lncRNA from 1 species
CUCUUUAAUUAAUUAAAAUGAUAGCUAAAUACAUGAACACGUUCUUAAAACAGGCACACACUAAAGAGGUUGAGAUAAUAGGGGUAAGUACCUACAAAGUAUUGUUCAAUUUCAACGAUUCUGGUUGGAAUAUUAACAAACAUUGUGCAUAUAUUUUAAAUUAAAAAAUCGCCUGUCACUUCUAUGUUCAAAACUAUGAGCAAAAUUGAGAAAACUUUAAAAUUUUACCGUAUGUGUCAGCAGUUUCCAAGAGUCUUUGACUGUGUGUAAUCCAGAACAAAAAUUAGGCCAUUAUUAAUACUUAAAAACGGCCAUUGACUCUCACGCUCUUUGCCGCUUGUUGCUACUAGUAUAGGCUAUCAUUAAAAGCCUACUACUGUAAAACCUACUAGUAGCGUAGCCAAUCAGAACGCACGAUAUAUGAUAGCCUACUACUGAGUACUAAUAGGUUUAUACUAUUAACAUAAUUUGGUCUGAGAACGUCUCAAUUUUAAUUAAUUUGGUACCAGCCCCCCCCCCCCCAAUUCCACCUCAAUAUAUAUAUGCGUAAAUUCUAUAUAUGGUGUUAACGUGAAUAUUUGUUUUGAAAACCGCAAGAAAAAUGUGUCUCAUGUUAAGUAACUAUACUGAAAAUAAUUUGAUGAAAUUGACCUCGUUCCACAGACGUUAGCCCAUGUUUUAUCUCUGGAACAUCGAAGAACUUUAUAGUAACACCAUUCAUUUCUACAGUCUUUUGACCAUCCGAUCCGUGGUAAAUCAUAACUUGGUUCUUGGCACUUAUGGUGGCUUUGAAAGGAACAGGAACAUUGGCUUGAACUUUGAUUGGUACGGUCAACAUGACAUCAAACCCAGACAUGCCAGGACUAUCAUCAACCCCAGACAUGCCAGGACUAUCCUCGUGUGAACGAAAUUUAUUUUCGAUGAUCUGAGAG